UUCUGGUUGAUCCUGCCGGAGGUCACUGCUAUUGGGAUCCGAUUAAGCCAUGCGAGUCGAGAGGGUUCGGCCCUCGGCGUACUGCUCAGUAACACGUGGAUAAUCUGACCUUAGGUGGAGGAUAACCUCGGGAAACUGAGAAUAAUACUCCAUAGAUCUUUGAUGCUGGAAUGCACUUAGAUUGAAAGCUCUGGCGCCUAAGGAUGAGUCUGCGGACUAUCAGGUUGUAGUCAGGGUAAGGACCUGACUAGCCUACAACGGAUACGGGUUGUGAGAGCAAUAACCCGGAGACGAUAUCUGAGACACGAUAUCGGGCCCUACGGGGCGCAGCAGGCGCGAAAACUUCACACUGCGCGAAAGCGCGAUGAGGGAAUCCCAAGUGCUUGCUCGUAAGAGUAAG
rnacentral:rRNA from 1 species